AGUGAACGCUGGCGGUAGACCUAACACAUGCAAGUCGAACGGCAGCACAGUAAGAGCUUGCUCUUACGGGUGGCGAGUGGCGGACGGGUGAGGAAUGCAUCGGAAUCUACUUUUUCGUGGGGGAUAACGUAGGGAAACUUACGCUAAUACCGCAUACGACCUACGGGUGAAAGCAGGGGAUCUUCGGACCUUGCGCGAUUGAAUGAGCCGAUGUCGGAUUAGCUAGUUGGCGGGGUAAAGGCCCACCAAGGCGACGAUCCGUAGCUGGUCUGAGAGGAUGAUCAGCCACACUGGAACUGAGACACGGUCCAGACUCCUACGGGAGGCAGCAGUGGGGAAUAUUGGACAAUGGGCGCAAGCCUGAUCCAGCCAUACCGCGUGGGAGAAGAAGGCCUUCGGGUUGUAAAGCCCUUUUGUUGGGAAAGAAAAGCAGCAGGUUAAUACCCCGCUGUUCUGACGGUACCCAAAGAAUAAGCACCGGCUAACUUCGUG
rnacentral:rRNA from 1 species